rnacentral:lncRNA from 1 species
AUAAACCGAAAGAAAAAUUGUGUAUAUGGUGAUCAUUGUGGUGAUUAAACUAUUAAUUCAUUUUAUUUUAUCUUUAUUUUCAUUUCAUGAGAUGAGAUACAUCCCAAUAGAAAGAAUGAAUAGAUGUGACAAUUACAUUAUCCUAUCACACCCUCCAUUAUCAUUAAAGUAUCAACAACUAAACAUGUCACUUAAAAUGCUAAAAGAAAUCAUUUCAUUCUAUCUUCUUCUUUUUUUUUGGCUCUGAAAUGAAUAUUUGGUUGACAUGUUUAAAAUCUAAAUGCAUUUGAAAUUUUU